CAAUACUGAGUGGCAAACGGGUGAGUAUAAUGUGGGAAUCUGCCUUUUGGUUCGGAAUAACACGAGGAAACUUGUGCUAAUACCGGAUAAGUCCUAACGGAGAAAGUUUUAAUGCCAAAAGAUGAGCCCGCAUUUGAUUAGCUAGUUGGUAAGGUAAAAGCUUACCAAGGCGACAAUCAAUAGCUGAUUUGAGAGGGCGACCGGCCACACUGGGACUGAGACACGGCCCAGACUCC
rnacentral:rRNA from 1 species